rnacentral:rRNA from 1 species
UACGUAGGGGGCAAGCGUUGUCCGGAUUUAUUGGGCGUAAAGAGCGUGUAGGCGGCCUGACAGGUCUGCUGUGAAAACUCGAGGCUCAACCUCGAGAUGUCGGCGGAAACCGUCUGGCUAGAGUCCGGAAGAGGAGAGUGGAAUUCCUGGUGUAGCGGUGAAAUGCGUAGAUAUCGGAAGGAACACCUGUGGCGAAAGCGGCUCACUGGACCAUAACUGACGCUGAUGCACGAAAGCUAGGGGAGCAAACAGG